rnacentral:rRNA from 1 species
UGGGGAAUAUUGCACAAUGGGCGCAAGCCUGAUGCAGCCAUGCCGCGUGUAUGAAGAAGGCCUUCGGGUUGUAAAGUACUUUCAGCGAGGAGGAAGGCGUUGUGGUUAAUAACCGCAACGAUUGACGUUACUCGCAGAAGAAGCACCGGCUAACUCCGUGCCAGCAGCCGCGGUAAUACGGAGGGUGCAAGCGUUAAUCGGAAUUACUGGGCGUAAAGCGCACGCAGGCGGUCUGUCAAGUCGGAGGUGAAAUCCCCGGGCUCAACCUGGGAACUGCAUCCGAAACUGGCAGGCUAGAGUCUUGUAGAGGGGGGUAGAAUUCCAGGUGUAGCGGUGAAAUGCGUAGAGAUCUGGAGGAAUACCGGUGGCGAAGGCGGCCCCCUGGACAAAGACUGACGCUCAGGUGCGAAAGCGUGGGGAGCAAACA